UCUUCGGCAAUGGACGAAAGUCUGACCGAGCAACGCCGCGUGAGUGAAGAAGGUUUUCGGAUCGUAAAACUCUGUUGUUAGAGAAGAACAAGUGGGAGAGUAACUGUUUCCACCCUGACGGUAUCUAACCAGAAAGCCACGGCUAACUACGUGCCAGCAGCCGCGGUAAUACGUAGGUGGCAAGCGUUGUCCGGAUUUAUUGGGCGUAAAGCGAGCGCAGGCGGUUUCUUAAGUCUGAUGUGAAAGCCCUCGGCUCAACCGAGGAAGGUCAUUGGAAACUGGGGAACUUGAAUGCAGAAGAGGAGAGUGGAAUUCCAUGUGUAGCGGUGAAAUGCGUAGAUAUAUGGAGGAACACCAGUGGCGAAGGCGACUCUCUGGUCUGUAAUUGACGCUGAGGCUCGAAAGCGUGGGGAGCAAACAGG
rnacentral:rRNA from 1 species